AAAUUAAGCCAUGCAUGUCUAAGUAUAAACAAAUCUAUACUGUGAAACUGCGAAUGGCUCAUUAUAUCAGUUAUAGUUUAUUUGAUGGUUCUUGCUACUUGGAUAACCGUAGUAAUUCUAGAGCUAAUACAUGCAUCAAACCUCGACUUUUUUGGAAGAGGUGUAUUUAUUAGAUGGAAACCAAUGCGGGGCAACCCGGAUUCAGGUGAUUCAUAAUAACUUUCGGAUCGAUCUUCGGAUCGAUGCAUCAUUCAAGUUUCUGCCCUAUCAGCUUUGGAUGGUAGGGUAUUGGCCUACCAUGGCUUUAACGGGUAACGGAGAAUUAGGGUUCGAUUCCGGAGAGGGAGCCUGAGAAACGGCUACCACAUCCAAGGAAGGCAGCAGGCGCGUAAAUUACCCCAAUCCUGACACAGGGAGGUAGUGACAAUAAAUAACAAUGCCCGGGCUUUUUUGAGUCUGGCAAUUGGAAUGAGAACAAUUUAAAUCCCUUAUCGAGGAUCAAUUGGAGGGCAAGUCUGGU
rnacentral:rRNA from 1 species